CAGCCGCCGCGGUAAUACCGGCGGCCCGAGUGGCGGCCACUAUUAUUGGGCUUAAAGCGUCCGUAGCCGGGUUGGUUAGUCUCCCGGGAAAUCUGGCCGCUUAACGGUCAGAAUUCCGGGAGAUACUGCCAGCCUAGGGACCGGGAGAGGCCGAGGGGAUUCCCGGAGUAGGGGUGAAAUCCUAUAAUCCCGGGAGGACCACCUGUGGCGAAGGCGCUCGGCUGGAACGGGUCCGACGGUGAGGCACGAAGGCCAGGGGAGCAAACCGGAUUAGAUGCCCGGGUAGUCCUGGCUGUAAACGAUGCGGACUUUGUGUCGGACAAGCUAUGAGCUUGUCCGGUGCCGGAGGGAAACCGUUAAGUCCGCCGCCUGGGGAGUACGGCCGCAAGGCUGAAACUUAAAGGAAUUGGCGGG
rnacentral:rRNA from 1 species